AGUAUAAGAGGGUCUAGAAACCUAAAAUUUUUGGCGGUUUGUUAGUCUAGUUAGAGGAACCUGCUCUUUAAUGGAUAAUCCUCCUUGGAUUUUACUUUUUUUUUAAAUAUCGCCGUCGACGUCAGGUCAAGGUUUAGUUAAUAGAAGAGGUUGAAGGUGGAUUUAAAAGUUGAUAGUGGAAAAUUGAGCUCUGAUGAAUGU
rnacentral:rRNA from 1 species